UACAGAGGGGGCAAGCGUUGUUCGGAAUUACUGGGCGUAAAGGGCGCGUAGGCGGUCCUCUAAGUCAGACGUGAAAUCCCUCGGCUCAACCGGGGAACUGCGUCUGAGACUGGAAGGCUUGAAUUCGGGAGAGGGAUGUGGAAUUCCAGGUGUAGCGGUGAAAUGCGUAGAUAUCUGGAGGAACACCGGUGGCGAAGGCGGCAUCCUGGACCGAGAUUGACGCUGAUGCGCGAAAGCCAGGGGAGCAAACGGG
rnacentral:rRNA from 1 species